rnacentral:rRNA from 1 species
UACGUAGGGUGCAAGCGUUGUCCGGAAUUAUUGGGCGUAAAGAGCUCGUAGGCGGUUUGUUGCGUCGGCUGUGAAAACCCGGGGCUCAACCCCGGGCCUGCAGCCGAUACGGGCAGACUAGAGUUCGGCAGGGGAGACUGGAAUUCCUGGUGUAGCGGUGAAAUGCGCAGAUAUCAGGAGGAACACCGGUGGCGAAGGCGGGUCUCUGGGCCGAUACUGACGCUGAGGAGCGAAAGCGUGGGGGAGCGAACAGG